UACGGAGGGUGCAAGCGUUAUCCGGAUUCACUGGGUUUAAAGGGUGUGUAGGCGGAUAUUUAAGUCAGUGGUGAAAUCUCCGGGCUCAACCCGGAAACUGCCAUUGAUACUAUUUAUCUUGAAUUCUGUUGAGGUGGGCGGAAUACAUCAUGUAGCGGUGAAAUGCUUAGAUAUGAUGUAGAACACCGAUUGCGAAGGCAGCUCACUAAGCAGACAUUGACGCUGAGGUGCGAAAGCGUGGGGAGCAAACAGG
rnacentral:rRNA from 1 species